UUGAACGCUGGCGGCAGGCCUAACACAUGCAAGUCGAACGGUAACAGGAAGAAGCUUGCUUCUUUGCUGACGAGUGGCGGACGGGUGAGUAAUGUCUGGGAAACUGCCUGAUGGAGGGGGAUAACUACUGGAAACGGUAGCUAAUACCGCAUAACGUCGCAAGACCAAAGAGGGGGACCUUCGGGCCUCUUGCCAUCGGAUGUGCCCAGAUGGGAUUAGCUAGUAGGUGGGGUAACGGCUCACCUAGGCGACGAUCCCUAGCUGGUCUGAGAGGAUGACCAGCCACACUGGAACUGAGACACGGUCCAGACUCCUACGGGAGGCAGCAGUGGGGAAUAUUGCACAAUGGGCGCAAGCCUGAUGCAGCCAUGCCGCGUGUAUGAAGAAGGCCUUCGGGUUGUAAAGUACUUUCAGCGGGGAGGAAGGGAGUAAAGUUAAUACCUUUGCUCAUUGACGUUACCCGCAGAAGAAGCACCGGCUAACUCCGUGCCAGCAGCCGCGGUAAUACGGAGGGUGCAAGCGUUAAUCGGAAUUACUGGGCGUAAAGCGCACGCAGGCGGUUUGUUAAGUCAGAUGUGAAAUCCCCGGGCUCAACCUGGGAACUGCAUCUGAUACUGGCAAGCUUGAGUCUCGUAGAGGGGGGUAGAAUUCCAGGUGUAGCGGUGAAAUGCGUAGAGAUCUGGAGGAAUACCGGUGGCGAAGGCGGCCCCCUGGACGAAGACUGACGCUCAGGUGCGAAAGCGUGGGGAGCAAACAGGAUUAGAUACCCUGGUAGUCCACGCUGUAAACGAUGAAUACUAGGUGUGCGGGGACUGACCCCCUGCGUGCCGCAGCUAACGCAAUAAGUAUUCCACCUGGGGAGUACGAUCGCAAGGUUGAAACUCAAAGGAAUUGACGGGGGCCCGCACAAGCAGUGGAGUAUGUGGUUUAAUUCGAAGCAACGCGAAGAACCUUACCUGGUCUUGACAUCCACGGAAGUUUUCAGAGAUGAGAAUGUGCCUUCGGGAACCGUGAGACAGGUGCUGCAUGGCUGUCGUCAGCUCGUGUUGUGAAAUGUUGGGUUAAGUCCCGCAACGAGCGCAACCCUUAUCCUUUGUUGCCAGCGGUCCGGCCGGGAACUCAAAGGAGACUGCCAGUGAUAAACUGGAGGAAGGUGGGGAUGACGUCAAAUCAUCAUGCCCCUUAUGACCUGGGCUACACACGUGCUACAAUGGCGCAUACAAAGAGAAGCGACCUCGCGAGAGCAAGCGGACCUCAUAAAGUGCGUCGUAGUCCGGAUUGGAGUCUGCAACUCGACUCCAUGAAGUCGGAAUCGCUAGUAAUCGUGGAUCAGAAUGCCACGGUGAAUACGUUCCCGGGCCUUGUACACACCGCCCGUCACACCAUGGGAGUGGGUUGCAAAAGAAGUAGGUAGCUUAACCUUCGGGAGGGCGCUUACCACUUUGUGAUUCAUGACUGGGGUG
rnacentral:rRNA from 1 species